AUGGUGCUGACGGUGGAUGUGGCCAGGCCGGCUCCCUGGGGCCUCCGUAUCACAAGGGGCAGGGAUUUUCACACCCUAUCACGGUGACCAAGGUGGCUGAGCAGGGCAAAGCCAAGGCUGCUGACCUCCAGCCUGGAUACGUCAUCGUGGCCAUCAACCGGGAAAGCGCGGAGGGAAUGCUGCACGCCGAGACCCAGAGCAAGAUCCGCCAGAGCCGCUCACCCCUGCGGUGGCAGCGGACGGUCUCAGGCUGCAUCUCCAGGGCAGACCAAUGGGGACGGCUCCUUGGAAGUGUUGGCGACUCGCUUCCAGGGCUCCGUGAGGACACACACUGAGAGUCAGUCCUCCCAAAGGUCCUCCUACUCCAGCCCAGCCUCCCUCAGCCCGAGGGCCGGCAGCCCCUGCCCCCCGCCACCCGCCAGCAGCCCCCUGGCUGGAGAGGCGGCCGCCGGCCGCAGCUUCCAGAGUGUUUCGUGUUCCCCGGGCCGCCCCGCCGCUGACUGCCUGUCCCGGAAGCCAACUCGGCGGUGCCGGUGCUGCCGCCUUCCCCGGCCCUGGCCGUUGUUCCUCCAGGCCCAGCGUGAGCUCGGAAGGGGGCAGCCUCCUCCUGGACGAGGACUCGGAAGUCUUCAAGAUGCUGCAGGAAAAUCGUGAGGGACGGGCGGCCCCCCGACAGUCCAGCUCCUUUCGGCUCUUGCAGGAAGCCCUGGAGGCUGAGGAGAAAGGUGGCAUGCCAGCCUUCCUGCCCAGCUUGCUGGGCCCUCAGUCCUCCCUGCCCGCCUCCAGGGCCCUGGCCGCCCCGCCACGCUCCACACCUGUGAGAAGUGCAGCACCAGCAUCGCGAACCAGGCCGUGCGCAUCCAGGAGGGCUGGUACCGCCACCCCGGCUGCUGCACCUGCCCCGACUGUGGGCUGAACCUGAAGAUGCGUGGACACUUCUGGGUGGGCCAGGAGCUGUACUGUGAGAAGCUCGCCCGCCAGCGCUACUCUGCACCCACUACCCUCAGCUCUGGGGCCUGAGCCCGCCAAGCCCUCAGCCUGCUGCACUGCUGGGCCAGGGUCAUGCCCAUACAAGGUGGCAUGGCAGGUGCAAUGGUGGGCGGUUGCUCUUACGUGAGCUAAGUUUGGGGACCUGAGGCCCCUUUGUCUUCACUGGGUGGGACAAGGUCUGGGACCUGUCUUGGGCUGUGGGAGCCUCACCCUCACCCUGUCAGGACCCUCUCCCCUGCAGGACUGGCACUGUGCUAGUCUGAGGUGGCCGCUGCCUUUGAUCAACCUUUGUGUGCCAGGGUGUAAGCAGGGUGGAACAGAAGUGGGAAAGAGAUGGGUGGGCCAGGGGCUAAUGGUGUCACUGUGUGAAGUUUUUGACAUAUGAGCUCUAUAAACGUAUGAAUAUGGACAAAA